rnacentral:siRNA from 1 species
CACUUGUGUUUGAACCACUUGA